rnacentral:rRNA from 1 species
GGUUAAGCGACUAAGCGUACACGGUGGAUGCCCUGGCAGUCAGAGGCGAUGAAGGACGUGCUAAUCUGCGAAAAGCGUCGGUAAGGUGAUAUGAACCGUUACAGCCGGCGAUGUCCGAAUGGGGAAACCCAGUGCAAUUCGUUGCACUAUCGUUAACUGAAUACAUAGGUUAACGAGGCGAACCGGGGGAACUGAAACAUCUAAGUACCCCGAGGAAAAGAAAUCAACCGAGAUUCCCCCAGUAGCGGCGAGCGAACGGGGAGCAGCCCGGAGUCUGAAUCAGCUUGUGUGUUAGUGGAAGCGUCUGGAAAGUCGCAGGGUACAGGGUGAUACUCCCGUACACUAAAACACACAGGUUGUGAACUCGAAGAGUAGGGCGGGACACGUGGUAUCCUGUCUGAAUAUGGGGGGACCAUCCUCCAAGGCUAAAUACUCCUGACUGACCGAUAGUGAACCAGUACCGUGAGGGAAAGGCGAAAAGAACCCCGGCGAGGGGAGUGAAAAAGAACCUGAAACCGUGUACGUACAAGCAGUAGGAGCCCACUAGUUGGGUGACUGCGUACCUUUUGUAUAAUGGGUCAGCGACUUAUAUUCUGUAGCAAGGUUAACCGUAUAGGGGAGCCGCAGGGAAACCGAGUCUUAACUGGGCGUUAAGUUGCAGGGUAUAGACCCGAAACCCGGUGAUCUAGCCAUGGGCAGGUUGAAGGUUGGGUAACACUAACUGGAGGACCGAACCGACUAAUGUUGAAAAAUUAGCGGAUGACUUGUGGCUGGGGGUGAAAGGCCAAUCAAACCGGGAGAUAGCUGGUUCUCCCCGAAAGCUAUUUAGGUAGCGCCUCGUGAAUUCAUCUUCGGGGGUAGAGCACUGUUUCGGCUAGGGGGUCAUCCCGACUUACCAACCCGAUGCAAACUACGAAUACCGAAGAAUGUUAUCACGGGAGACACACGGCGGGUGCUAACGUCCGUCGUGAAGAGGGAAACAACCCAGACCGCCAGCUAAGGUCCCAAAGUCAUGGUUAAGUGGGAAACGAUGUGGGAAGGCCCAGACAGCCAGGAUGUUGGCUUAGAAGCAGCCAUCAUUUAAAGAAAGCGUAAUAGCUCACUGGUCGAGUCGGCCUGCGCGGAAGAUGUAACGGGGCUAAACCAUGCACCGAAGCUGCGGCAGCGACACUAUGUGUUGUUGGGUAGGGGAGCGUUCUGUAAGCCGUUGAAGGUGGCCUGUGAGGGUUGCUGGAGGUAUCAGAAGUGCGAAUGCUGACAUAAGUAACGAUAAUGCGGGUGAAAAACCCGCACGCCGGAAGACCAAGGGUUCCUGUCCAACGUUAAUCGGGGCAGGGUGAGUCGACCCCUAAGGCGAGGCCGAAAGGCGUAGUCGAUGGGAAACAGGUUAAUAUUCCUGUACUUGGUGUUACUGCGAAGGGGGGACGGAGAAGGCUAUGUUGGCCGGGCGACGGUUGUCCCGGUUUAAGCAUGUAGGCGGAUGUUCCAGGUAAAUCCGGAGCGUCACUAACGCUGAGGUGUGAUGACGAGGCACUACGGUGCUGAAGUGACAAAUGCCCUGCUUCCAGGAAAAGCCUCUAAGCAUCAGGUAACAUCAAAUCGUACCCCAAACCGACACAGGUGGUCAGGUAGAGAAUACCAAGGCGCUUGAGAGAACUCGGGUGAAGGAACUAGGCAAAAUGGUGCCGUAACUUCGGGAGAAGGCACGCUGAUGGUAGGUGAAGUGACUUGCUCAUGGAGCUGAAAUCAGUCGAAGAUACCAGCUGGCUGCAACUGUUUAUUAAAAACACAGCACUGUGCAAACACGAAAGUGGACGUAUACGGUGUGACGCCUGCCCGGUGCCGGAAGGUUAAUUGAUGGGGUUAUCCUCGCGGAGAAGCUCUUGAUCGAAGCCCCGGUAAACGGCGGCCGUAACUAUAACGGUCCUAAGGUAGCGAAAUUCCUUGUCGGGUAAGUUCCGACCUGCACGAAUGGCGUAAUGAUGGCCAGGCUGUCUCCACCCGAGACUCAGUGAAAUUGAACUCGCUGUGAAGAUGCAGUGUACCCGCGGCAAGACGGAAAGACCCCGUGAACCUUUACUAUAGCUUGACACUGAACACUGGUCCUUGAUGUGUAGGAUAGGUGGGAGGCUUUGAAGUGUGGACGCCAGUCUGCAUGGAGCCGUCCUUGAAAUACCACCCUUUAAUGGCUGGUGUUCUAACGUGGGCCCCUAAUCGGGGUUGCGGACAGUGUCUGGUGGGUAGUUUGACUGGGGCGGUCUCCUCCUAAAGAGUAACGGAGGAGCACGAAGGUCAGCUAAUCCUGGUCGGACAUCAGGAGGUUAGUGCAAUGGCAUAAGCUGGCUUGACUGCGAGCGUGACGGCGCGAGCAGGUGCGAAAGCAGGUCAUAGUGAUCCGGUGGUUCUGAAUGGAAGGGCCAUCGCUCAACGGAUAAAAGGUACUCCGGGGAUAACAGGCUGAUACCGCCCAAGAGUUCAUAUCGACGGCGGUGUUUGGCACCUCGAUGUCGGCUCAUCACAUCCUGGGGCUGAAGUAGGUCCCAAGGGUAUGGCUGUUCGCCAUUUAAAGUGGUACGCGAGCUGGGUUUAGAACGUCGUGAGACAGUUCGGUCCCUAUCUGCCGUGGGCGCUGGAGAAUUGAGGGGGGCUGCUCCUAGUACGAGAGGACCGGAGUGGACGCAUCACUGGUGUUCGGGUUGUCAUGCCAAUGGCAUUGCCCGGUAGCUAAAUGCGGAAGAGAUAAGUGCUGAAAGCAUCUAAGCACGAAACUUGCCCCGAGAUGAGUUCUCCCUGACUCCUUGAGAGUCCUGAAGGAACGUUGAAGACGACGACGUUGAUAGGCCGGGUGUGUAAGCGCAGCGAUGCGUUGAGCUAACCGGUACUAAUGAACCGUGAGGCUUAACCUU